AUCUUGCUUUAACCCCCUAAUUUCAAGCAAGUUUUCCAAACAAUGUAAUGCCAUACAUGUGAAUUGCUGUGUGUAGUCUUUGCCCGUCUUCAAGGAUGGGCUUUUUUUUGU
rfam:Serratia odorifera DSM 4582 genomic scaffold SCAFFOLD1, whole genome shotgun sequence.